rnacentral:rRNA from 1 species
AGUCGAACGAGCGAGAGAGAGCUUGCUUUCUCGAGCGAGUGGCGAACGGGUGAGUAACGCGUGAGGAACCUGCCUCAAAGAGGGGGACAACAGUUGGAAACGACUGCUAAUACCGCAUAAGCCCACGGGUCGGCAUCGACCAGAGGGAAGAGGAGUGAUCCGCUUUGAGAUGGCCUCGCGUCCGAUUAGCUAGUUGGUGAGGUAACGGCCCACCAAGGCGACGAUCGGUAGCCGGACUGAGAGGUUGAACGGCCACAUUGGGACUGAGACACGGCCCAGACUCCUACGGGAGGCAGCAGUGGGGAAUAUUGCACAAUGGGGGAAACCCUGAUGCAGCGACGCCGCGUGGAGGAAGAAGGUCUUCGGAUUGUAAACUCCUGUUGUUGGGGAAGAUAAUGACGGUACCCAACAAGGAAGUGACGGCUAACUACGUGCCAGCAGCCGCGGUAAAACGUAGGUCACAAGCGUUGUCCGGAAUUACUGGGUGUAAAGGGAGCGCAGGCGGGAAGACAAGUUGGAAGUGAAAUCCAUGGGCUCAACCCAUGAACUGCUUUCAAAACUGUUUUUCUUGAGUAGUGCAGAGGUAGGCGGAAUUCCCGGUGUAGCGGUGGAAUGCGUAGAUAUCGGGAGGAACACCAGUGGCGAAGGCGGCCUACUGGGCACCAACUGACGCUGAGGCUCGAAAGUGUGGGUAGCAAACAGGAUUAGAUACCCUGGUAGUCCACACCGUAAACGAUGAUUACUAGGUGUUGGAGGAUUGACCCCUUCAGUGCCGCAGUUAACACAAUAAGUAAUCCACCUGGGG